AAUACUGUUCUACUUAAGUCAACAAGGACUGCAAAGCAGCUGCCUUUAAAUUAUGAUAAUGGGGGCAGCUGUUCAGUUUCUCCCCUCAAUGCAAAUCAGAAGCAAGCUGAGGAAGGAGAGAGUUCAGACCGUGCGGUCGGCUCACCAGAGUGAGUGCUCUCUAGAGGCUGCUGGUUUAAUGGCAGUGUCGCUACAACACCAAGGACUGCUGAGUUCCACUUCCAGUCAGAUACCAGUUGAGAGCUGGAUGCCAGAGAGAAGGCAGCCACCUGUGAGAUAACUGAUACCCAGUCCCAGUUGAAAAGUCAGAGACACCAUCUCAGAUCAUGAGCUGACCUUGAGACUGGAAGCCAAGACCUAGGAUAGUCAAGCAGAAAGAUAGAAUCCUGGGCUCCUAGUGGCAAAGCAGAGCCACCACAGCAGCUCUGACCUUCUUGGCUUCAGAUUUCUUGUCUAUGAGUGAAAAAUAUACCUCGAUUUUGUUUCAGAUACUAUUAUUUUGGAGUUUUCUCUUAUAUUCAGCUAAGUAAGAUCCCAACUAACAUAGUCUCUUUAACAACUUUCUUUUAAAAUACUGAAGACUGGCAGAGAAGAGUAUGAGUAUGCAGGA